UACAGAGGUGCCGAGCGUUAGGCGGAAUCACUGGGCUUAAAGCGUGUGUAGGCGGAUGCCUAAGUACCUUGUGAAAUCCCAUAGCUCAACUAUGGAACUGCUUGGUAUACUGGGUGUCUUGAGCCACUUAGGGGUUACCGGAACAAAUGGUGGAGCGGUGAAAUGCGUAGAUAUCAUUUGGGACGGCAAAGGUGAAAACAGGUAACUGGGAGUGUGCUGACGCUGAGACACGAAAGCCAGGGGAGCGAACGGG
rnacentral:rRNA from 1 species